CUCUCAAUAGGCUCCAGUCUUGAUACACUAACAGUACUUGGUUCUCAUGGAUGUGAUGUCAUUCUCCUAGCUAAUGACAGUUCUUUAAUACACCUCACUCUUCACUCCUCCUCCUCCUAGCAACAGUCACUGGCUCUCUCUUCAGUCUUCAGUAUAGAACCAAACAUGGAGUCCUUCCAGUAUGAUGACACUCUUCCACAAUAUGUCGGGAAGUUGAACGACGUCCUUUUUAAAUGGCCACUGCUGUUCACUCUCACUGAGGAUGGGAUUGUGUUGGUCUACAGUGUCUCUAAUGCUAUGAUUAUUGCUGCCAUUCAUCCACUGGAAUACUGUAGAAUGUUUAGCUAUAACACUCCAGAUGGUCCCUCUCUCUUACAAACUCUGUCUUUGUCAUCAUUUCAUAAAAUCUCUGUCUCUCCUGAUCUAGGAGUGUCUCUUAAUUCAUUGGAUCAAUGUUCCCUCCCACUCAAUGCACUGGAGACUGGAACUGAGACAUAGUGUCAUUCUUCGUUAGGAAUAGAGAAAUAUGUGCUGUGUCACGUCAUCAUGUUCAAAAAAAGAAAUUGAAAGAUGCUUCAAACUUAUUUGUCAAUAAGCAGCAAACCCAGUAAUGAAUGCUGUAUCAACUACUAAAGCAUGAUUAGUGAGUAUAUUGAGGAAGUAUAGGUUUCAAAGAUCACCUGAUACUCAGAUAUCAAUAAAGAAGAAACAAG
rnacentral:lncRNA from 1 species